UUUCACUUCAGCUCUCUCUCUCUACCCGAGAGCUUCUCUCUCCUCAUCCUCGCCGGAAAUCGCCGCCGUCGCCGCCGCCGGCCGCCGCCGGAAUCCGGAUUUCAACCAAAAUUUCCAGAUUUUCUUCUCUUCCUUCCCUCUUUCCAUUUCUCCAACCAAAAUCAAAAAAUUUAGCCAUUUAAUCCCCCAAAAACCCUAGAACCCGAAGCUAAAAUUGGGGCUUUUGUGAUUUCUUCUUUCCAAGCUCAAAUCAAGGCUAUGGGUUUGGCAAGGAUUUUUGGUGAAGAAGGCCAAGGAGAAGGUAUAUGACGUGAUUUUUGAAGGAGAAAGGGAAACACGAUCGUUAAGGAAGCUUAAGCGGAAAGCAUCAGAGUGUGGAGUACGACAACAUUUUCCAGGUAGGGUGAGCUGUCCCUUCCUUGUUAGAGGCUUUUCGAUAUAUGUGGAAUGCUCUAGUAUAAUAUUACGUUGCCUGCAAGUAUGUUUUUGGUUGUUCAUUAGUCGAUGCCUCGUGAUACAUGUGUUUUCAGAACUGAUAAUUGUUGAUUGCGAAAACCGAGGCUAGACUUGCAUGUUGAGAUACUGUACCUUUUGUAUGUUGUGUUUGUGACCUGAAAGUGAAUGGGACCUAGACGCGUAGAUUCCUAGGGAUCCCACGGUGUCGAUAACCGUGAACCUCCGGAGGGGGCUGUGCUCCUAUGUUUGUCAAGGAAAGGUAAAUACGGACAGUGAACCAGUCAUAGGAGACUCAGAGCCAGGAAAUGGACACUUUCGCUACUUGUAGUCACAAGGACUACAGAGUAGUUGGCUGGUUCUCUUACUCAGGACGAACCAGAUCGGUCACUGAUUUAUUUUACUUUAGCCGGCAGGUUACAACGAGGUCAUUCCGGACGAUUUGGAUUAGAGGUGGGUCGUUGGCCGAGUCCGUGUGUUGCUGUUCCUGUUGCUUGAAGUUCUUCCUAUUUGGUACUCUAUCGAUUUACUAGCUUCUCUUUCUAUGUUGAACUCUGUGAGGUCCGCCUACCUGGGAGCGCGCCUCACCCCUUUGUUUUACUGUUAUUGUUGAACUCCUUUCAUUUUGGUUAUGAUGUAAGCCCUAAGGCAUCACAGUGCACUUGCCACUUUAUUUUGUUGCUUUCCAGACUUGUUGAUUUAAAUGUUGGGUUGUUGAUUUAAA